UAGAAACAGCUCAUCCACUGGAGUGCUUUACUCAGCCUCUUUUACCUGUCAAAAUAAAAUAAAAAGCAAUAAAUGCAUACAGUAUAAUCCUGAAUUCAUUUAUAUCAUACUUGCAUGCUUGUGAAGGUUUUUAUUAUAAUUCCUUCUCUGAAGGUUUAUUUAAUUCUAAACCUGCGUCAGAUGUUUGAUCUACAUAAGGCCAUAUGCAGUCAGACUGAAAACAUUAUUUUGUACACCAGUCAAUACUAAAAUUUAAUGUAGAGCUGAAUCCCAGAUCAAAGCUCAUUUAAAGUCUCUGCAUAUCUGUUUGGUGUUUGAAUGUUGUGUCAAAUCUUUGUAUCUUUGCAUCUUGUCUUUAAUUUUUUUGUUGCAAAUGGAGCCGCUGUGAUUCAAGAAACAUUUCAGACCAUGUCUGACAAUAAAGUAUUAUCAAAUCCAAUCACUCUGAUUUGUUGAUAAGGCUGUCUAGAUGACUAUUUCUCAUUUGUAUUUGAUUUCUGGAUAGCACAUAUUACCAGUCUUUACACUUUUCUAUCAGGGGAAGCAAUAAGAAGAAAAGGAUCAGACAGAAAGCAGUUUUCCAGUGCUUGUGUAUUUUAUUUUCAUGUUUCACAUCAUAUUAUAUGAUGAGAUGUACAGUAGAUGAUCAGCCAGGGAACUUUACUCGGCCUCUUUUCCCUGAAGACAAAAACAAAA